rnacentral:rRNA from 1 species
UACGGGGGGGGCAAGCGUUGUUCGGAAUUACUGGGCGUAAAGGGCGCGUAGGCGGCCUACUAAGUCAGACGUGAAAUCCCUCGGCUUAACCGGGGAACUGCGUCUGAUACUGGAUGGCUUGAGUUUGGGAGAGGGAUGCGGAAUUCCAGGUGUAGCGGUGAAAUGCGUAGAUAUCUGGAGGAACACCGGUGGCGAAGGCGGCAUCCUGGACCAACACUGACGCUGAGUGAGCGAAAGCCAGGGGAGCAAACGGG